CUAUUACGCUGGCGGAUGCUUACCACUGCAGUCGAACGGUACGCGGGCUUCGGCCUGGCGACGAGUGGCGGACGGGUGAGUAAUGCAUCGGAACGUAUCCUUUUGUCGGGGGAUAGCCCGGCGAAAGCCGGAUUAAUACCGCAUUAAGCUCUGAGUGAGGAAAGUGGGGGACCUUCGGGCCUCACGCUGAAGGAGCGGCCGAUGUCAGAUUAGCUAGUUGGUGGGGUAAAGGCCUACCAAGGCGACGAUCUGUAGCUGGUCUGAGAGGAUGAUCAGCCACACUGGAACUGAGACACGGUCCAGACUCCUACGGGAGGCAGCAGUGGGGAAUUUUGGACAAUGGGGGCAACCCUGAUCCAGCCAUGCCGCGUGCGGGAAGAAGGCCCUCGGGUUGUAAACCGCUUUCAGAUGGAAAGAAAUGGUGUAGGUUAAUAACCUGCAUUGAUGACGGUACCAUCAGAAGAAGCACCGGCUAACUACGUGCCAGCAGCCGCGGUAAUACGUAGGGUGCGAGCGUUAAUCGGAAUUACUGGGCGUAAAGCGUGCGCAGGCGGUUCUUUAAGACAGGUGUGAAAUCCCCGGGCUUAACCUGGGAAUUGCGCUUGUGACUGGAGGGCUAGAGUGUGGCAGAGGGGAAUGGAAUUCCUGGUGUAGCAGUGAAAUGCGUAGAUAUCAGGAGGAACACCGAUGGCGAAGGCAGUUCCCUGGGCCAACACUGACGCUCAUGCACGAAAGCGUGGGGAGCAAACAGG
rnacentral:rRNA from 1 species